CUACGGGACGCACCAGUGGGGAAUCUUAGACAAUGGGCGCAAGCCUGAUCUAGCCAUGCCGCGUGAGUGACGAAGGCCUUAGGGUCGUAAAGCUCUUUCGCUGGGGAAGAUAAUGACGGUACCCAGUAAAGAAACCCCGGCUAAUUCCGUGCCAGCAGCCGCGGUAAUACGGAGGGGGUUAGCGUUGUUCGGAAUUACUGGGCGUAAAGCGCGCGUAGGCGGAUCAGAAAGUUGGGGGUGAAAUCCCGGGGCUCAACCCCGGAACUGCCUUCAAAACUCCUGGUCUUGAGUUCGAGAGAGGUGAGUGGAAUGCCGAGUGUAGAGGUGAAAUUCGUAGAUAUUCGGAGGAACACCAGUGGCGAAGGCGGCUCACUGGCUCGAUACUGACGCUGAGGUGCGAAAGCGUGGGGAGCAAACAGGAUUAGAUACCCGCGUAGUC
rnacentral:rRNA from 1 species